GAUCAUGGCUCAGAUUGAACGCUGCGGCAUGCCUUACACAUGCAAGUCGAACGGCAGCACGGGGCAACCUGGUGGCGAGUGGCGAACGGGUGAGUAAUGCAUCGGAACGUGCCAUUGAGUGGGGGGUAACGUAGCGAAAGUUACGCUAAUACCGCAUAUUCUGUGAGCAGGAAAGCAGGGGAUCGCAAGACCUUGCGCUCUUUGAGCGGCCGAUGUCAGAUUAGCUAGUUGGUGAGGUAACGGCUUACCAAGGCGACGAUCUGUAGCGGGUCUGAGAGGAUGAUCCGCCACACUGGAACUGAGACACGGUCCAGACUCCUACGGGAGGCAGCAGUGGGGAAUUUUUGGACAAUGGGGGCAACCCUGAUCCAGCCAUGCCGCGUGAGUGAAGAAGGCCUUCGGGUUGUAAAGCUCUUUCGGCCGGGAAGAAAUCGCAUGGGUUAAUACCCUGUGUGGAUGACGGUACCGGCAUAAGAAGCACCGGCUAACUACGUG
rnacentral:rRNA from 1 species